UUUAAAAACAUUUCCUGAUUGAUUAAUUAGUAAAAUUCUCCGUUUCGAUUAAUCGAUCAAAUAUAGAAAUUAAUAGCAAAUAAAAAUCAGAUCUUGAAUUUCAUUAAGCACGAUAUAAAAAAUAAUCGAAUCAAAGAGAGUAAUGUGAUUCCAACUUCAUUACUUUGCGAAAACAAAAAUGAUGAUUAUUUAGUAGGUUAUAAUAAAAUCUCAGAGACACAGGACAAUUAAAAUAUUGUUACCACGCUAAAACUAUGCUGUGAUAAAUUAAAAGAUCAUUUAAACACGGCGGUUUCAGCUUACAAAUUAAAUAACUUUUUAAUGUCGCUCGAACUUAGGGCCUUUAUAAGAAUGUGGAAUGAAACAAAC